rnacentral:rRNA from 1 species
UACGUAGGGGGCGAGCGUUGUCCGGAUUUAUUGGGCGUAAAGAGCGUGUAGGCGGCCAGGUAGGUCUGCUGUGAAAACUCGAGGCUCAACCUCGAGACGUCGGCGGAAACCAUCUGGCUAGAGUCCGGAAGAGGAGAGUGGAAUUCCUGGUGUAGCGGUGAAAUGCGCAGAUAUCAGGAGGAACACCGGUGGCGAAGGCGGUUCUCUGGGCCUGUACUGACGCUGAGGAGCGAAAGCGUGGGGAGCGAACAGGA